rnacentral:rRNA from 1 species
UCCUACGGGAGGCAGCAGUGGGGAAUAUUGGACAAUGGACCACAAGUCUGAUCCAGCAAUUCUGUGUGCACGAUGACGUUUUUCGGAAUGUAAAGUGCUUUCAGUCGGGAAGAAGUCAGUGACGGUACCGACAGAAGAAGCGACGGCUAAAUACGUGCCAGCAGCCGCGGUAAUACGUAUGUCGCAAGCGUUAUCCGGAUUUAUUGGGCGUAAAGCGCGUCUAGGCGGUAAGGAAAGUCUGAUGUGAAAAUGCGGAGCUCAACUCCGUAUGGCGUUGGAAACUGCCUUACUAGAGUACUGGAGAGGUAGGCGGAACUACAAGUGUAGAGGUGAAAUUCGUAGAUAUUUGUAGGAAUGCCGAUGGGGAAGCCAGCCUACUGGACAGAUACUGACGCUAAAGCGCGAAAGCGUGGGUAGCAAACAGGAUUAGAUACCCUGGUAGUCC